AUAUGGCUCUUUAGUUGAAAGAUAUUGAAAUUUGACAUUGAGUGAUAGAAUUAUUCUAUAUAUAAAGGAUGAAUGUUACUGUUACACUGUUGCUAAGAGUUGGAAAAGCCAUUUUUAUCCUCCACUGUUGGAGAAGAAUAUCAAGUUGCUAGAAAAGUCGUUUUCCUUGCUUUUGUUAGUGCUGAGAAAAGUUGUUUUCCUUGCUUAUUUCAGUGCAGGUUUAUAGGUUGUGAGUGAGACAGUGAGUUGCAUUACCGAAAGAAGAGAGAAGCAACAAAAGAGAGAGAUAGAAGAGAAAAGAAAGACGAACAGAAUAGAGGAAAAGAGGACAUCUCGGCGACAAGGUAUUUCUGAGAAUCGGAUUUGUGGUUUUCUCAGUGUUGGAUAGGCAUAACGAUCGGGGCAGGAAUUGGAAAAAACCCAAAGAAGAGAGAAGAAAGAAAAUAGAGAUAGAAUAGAGGAAAGGUGAAGAUCUGGGCAAAAAAAAGUAAAAAACCGAAAGAAGAGAGAAGAAAGAAAAGAGGGAUACAAGACAACCCAUUGCAAAGCCGAUCUGUCCUCUUUGGGAAGCCUCCAUCCGAAUCAAGGUUCAACUGACCUCAGAGUCGGUGAUCAAGAUCAAGAACAAGAACAGUGAGAACUUGUCUCCAUCAAAGUCCAAGCAAUCAAAUAGAAAAAAGGAGGAUGGGUCACUUUCAGUUUUUUUUUCUGCAAAAGGUAGACAUCAAUAUUUUGAUUCGUGAUUAGCUUCCGAAACGCAAGUUCUCAUUCUAUUCACCAACAAAGGGGUAUUAUUUGUGGCGGAGUUCGCGUCUUCGUUUUUUUGCUGCACAGAAACAGGGAAAGAGAUACGUUGAGUCUGCAACUCUGAUCGUGACUCUUUGACAGCCUGUCAGCUUUGUCUUCAUCGAUACCGCGAAGUUUUCAGAACUGGAAGGGGUACUUUAUCUGCUUUCAACGUGCUAGCAACAAUGGCUCGGUUUUGCUGGUAGUUGAUCGUUUGGCGGUAAACAGGGAUUUUGUUGUUCGCCCAACACAGAGGGACGAGACGAAACAAAAGAGAGAGAGAGAGAGGAGAACAGGCAAGAACGAAAAGAAGGAGAAGAGAGAGACGGGAAGCUCUUGCUUAGAUUGUUGAGGGUUUUGUUUUCUUCUUUAUCGUUAACAGAGUGACGAACUCAGUUUAUCAUGGGGCUUUGCAAUUCAGGUUUGAGCAUAUAAGCUUGGUGUCUAUUGGCUUGCUGGUGAAGUUUUCAGGGGCUUAAAAUUUAUCAGUCUUAUGUACAAUUGCAUGUUUACAGGGUCUCGAACUUGAUAUUGACCGGUUUGAUCUCCAGAAAGUAAAAUUACCGGCCAGGUUGGUAAACAUGAACAUGAAAUCCCUAUAUUUUGGUAACAGAUGGAUUCAAGUUGAGAACUUGAGAUCUAAACAUGGUCUUUGAUCUUUCAUUCUUUCAUAUAAUGCAGUUCAAGCUUGAUAUGCUGGACUGUUUGAAGAAAGGAUAUGUCUGCUGGAGCAAAGGACAACUUCCAAAACCAGUUUUGGGCUGGAAACCAAGAUAGUGGCAGCAUCCAUUCCUUUUAUGAUGUCGCUGCUAAUCCAGAUUCGUAUGGCAAAGGCACCAGAUUUUUGAGACAAGUAGAACAAUGUAUAAUGUAGUUUUACUAUAUCUAAUGUAUCUAUAACGUAAUUUCGAUGUAAAUUCAACCAUAUCAAUAGUAUACCCGCAGCACCGCGCGGGCAUUUUGCCUAA